rnacentral:rRNA from 1 species
ACGAACGCUGGCGGCGUGCCUAAUACAUGCAAGUAGAACGCUGAAGAGAGGAGCUUGCUCUUCUUGGAUGAGUUGCGAACGGGUGAGUAACGCGUAGGUAACCUGCCUUGUAGCGGGGGAUAACUAUUGGAAACGAUAGCUAAUACCGCAUAACAAUGGAUGACACAUGUCAUUUAUUUGAAAGGGGCAAUUGUUCCACUACAAGAUGGACCUGCGUUGUAUUAGCUAGUAGGUGAGGUAAUGGCUCACCUAGGCGACGAUACAUAGCCGACCUGAGAGGGUGAUCGGCCACACUGGGACUGAGACACGGCCCAGACUCCUACGGGAGGCAGCAGUAGGGAAUCUUCGGCAAUGGGGGCAACCCUGACCGAGCAACGCCGCGUGAGUGAAGAAGGUUUUCGGAUCGUAAAGCUCUGUUGUAAGUCAAGAACGGGUGUGAGAGUGGAAAGUUCACACUGUGACGGUAGCUUACCAGAAAGGGACGGCUAACUACGUGCCAGCAGCCGCGGUAAUACGUAGGUCCCGAGCGUUGUCCGGAUUUAUUGGGCGUAAAGCGAGCGCAGGCGGUUUGAUAAGUCUGAAGUUAAAGGCUGUGGCUCAACCAUAGUUCGCUUUGGAAACUGUCAAACUUGAGUGCAGAAGGGGAGAGUGGAAUUCCAUGUGUAGCGGUGAAAUGCGUAGAUAUAUGGAGGAACACCGGUGGCGAAAGCGGCUCUCUGGUCUGUAACUGACGCUGAGGCUCGAAAGCGUGGGGAGCGAACAGGAUUAGAUACCCUGGUAGUCCACGCCGUAAACGAUGAGUGCUAGGUGUUGGAUCCUUUCCGGGAUUCAGUGCCGCAGCUAACGCAUUAAGCACUCCGCCUGGGGAGUACGACCGCAAGGUUGAAACUCAAAGGAAUUGACGGGGGCCCGCACAAGCGGUGGAGCAUGUGGUUUAAUUCGAUGCAACGCGAAGAACCUUACCUGGUCUUGACAUCCACAGAACUUUCCAGAGAUGGAUAGGUGCCUUCGGGAACUGGGAGACAGGUGCUGCAUGGCUGUCGUCAGCUCGUGUUGUGAAAUGUUGGGUUAAGUCCCGCAACGAGCGCAACCCCUAUUGUUAGUUGCCAUCAUUCAGUUGGGCACUCUAGCGAGACUGCCGGUAAUAAACCGGAGGAAGGUGGGGAUGACGUCAAAUCAUCAUGCCCCUUAUGACCUGGGCUACACACGUGCUACAAUGGUUGGUACAACGAGUUGCGAGUCGGUGACGGCGAGCUAAUCUCUUAAAGCCAAUCUCAGUUCGGAUUGUAGGCUGCAACUCGCCUACAUGAAGUCGGAAUCGCUAGUAAUCGCGGAUCAGCACGCCGCGGUGAAUACGUUCCCGGGCCUUGUACACACCGCCCGUCACACCACGAGAGUUUGUAACACCCGAAGUCGGUGAGGUAACCUUUUGGAGCCAGCCGCCUAAGGUGGGACAGAUGAUUGGGGUG